GAAAACAACUGAGGGAGGAAUGGCCUUGUAUUACUGAUGCUGUUACAAAGAUUAGCUGUGAUGAUGGCAAAGACAUUGAAGGGAAUGGAGGCUGCUGUCCUUUGACUGAGACCUCUGAAACUUUUGCCAGCGACCCAGACAUGGGUGAAAGGAAAACCCUUCACAUCAGAAUUUAGAGCUAACUUCUGGAAGCCGAGAUCUGGAUGGUGCAUGUGACCUGUGCUGCAGCUGUGGAUCUACGAAAGACCCGGUACCCAAGCAAUGAACAGCAUUGAUGAGCCUGCUUCAUUGCUUCUCCAUUGUUGCCACAUGACACACACCUACCAGAGCUGUGAUGAAAAUAAUAGAUGUGCCAAGGAGAGGAUGAGUAAUUGUGAAUCCGCCAUGAGCCACAUGAUGUCUGCACCAGGGAACAGAGCGCGACGGACAGAAGUAGCAAUUAACUGAAAUACAGCUGUUUUGAAGUUGAUUGGGAGGAAACAUAUCACCAAAAUACAUUCUGGGAUAGGAAACCUCCCCCUAAUUUAUUUUAAAAUUAUGAUUUUAUCCCCCUUAGCACAAAAGGGAAUAUAUGCUAAUUUUAGAGAUAAAAUGAAAUAUUGACAAGUAAAAUAUCAUUACCUAUAAUUCCAACCCUCAGUCUUAUAGAGGAUUAAAGAAUGAUUGGGUAUAGGAGCAAACUACUGAUUAAAAACCUAAUACAUUUUGA